rnacentral:misc_RNA from 1 species
CUUCCAGGUGAUUGAAGUAACAUCGAAAGCUUUUGCUUGGCUGUGUGUGUGUGUGUGUGUGGGUCAAGUGUGUUGCCUUUUGAUUGAAUUCUCAAUCGGAUAAUAAAAGGUAUCGCACACAUGCCCUAGGGAAGCGGACGCUGUAUAAACGAUUGUGUUUCUGCGGAAAAAGUGCUAUGCUGCGCAAAAAGUUUCCACUAGCAAGCGCCUGCAGCUCGUGAAGCAGAAGACUCGUGUCAAUGACUAUGGGCGAACGCCAAGACAGCCUUGAUGGAUGGGUGGCCAUCCGAGAGAACCUCUUUGAUCCUGUGGAUGUUCCCAAGCACAGCUUGUCGCGCUUCAUUGUCGCCUUCAACCGUGUGGAGUGUCAGUUUGCAGUCAGCUACUCAGAAGGCGAGCGUCAUGCUUGUGACAGGGACAACGGUGCCGCACGUGCUGUGCUACUUUCCUCGGAUGCCCUGCGUGACAUUCACAGGCAGCUCUUGCUCAUGUGCCCUGCACUUGAGAAUGCUUUCCCACUGAGUGGACCACAAACAAAAGGGUCUCGAAGCUUUUUAGGGUUCUUCUCAAAGAAGAACGGGGUGCUUGAAACACUGGAUCCAUCUGUUGAAGACAAAGUGUGCAGGGAGCUGGAGUACUAUUUUAAGCAGGCGCUUGAUGCAACAGGGAAGAGGUUGCUCUUUGCUGUGGUGUUUGGUGAAGAAGACUACUUGACUGAUUAUGAGGAAGAUGUUCAGGAGUUGAGACUACGUGGUCUGGAGCGUACUCUGAAGCGUGCCUAUGAUGACUUGAAUGAGAUACUGUCACUCCGGUCACGCUCCGAGACUAUGUUGGAGCUGUCAACGGUGUACGCUCUGGAGGACCAGGUAGUGGCCAACAUUUCUAUUGCUUUGGCUGAGCUCUAUAAUUUCCAGCUGGGGCCCUUCUUGGAACUGCGUGAGCUGGCAGCUGAACGCAGUCGUGCAUCGCGCCUUAGGGCUGAUGAUGGCCGGCUCGGGCCUCGUGUCAGAGCUGAGGCAAUGAAGGAGCUCGAAGAGUGGGAAACUCGAGUGCAGUCUGCCAAUGAAGCCACUCAACACCUUUACCAGGAGUACUAUCGACACACCGUGGAGCUAGUUUCAGGUCAGAGAAACAGGAUGCUUGAGGACCAGACAAAGUUUGGUCGGUCGACAUUUGAGCUGCACGGUAUGCAGCGCCUUCAGAAGCUGGAAGUGUUUGUGUGCCAGGAGCGGCUCAAGCUGCUGGGUGCCAUCAAGAGCACCCGAGAGCUACAGCAUGGCAAGAUCACCCAAAUGCUGGAGCAGCAGGCUCUACGAGGUCAGUGCACAUUGUUGGAGAUGGAGGAAGAAGUGUACAGCUCUCAGUUGGGCAUAUAUGACGUGAGCUUAGAGAUGCUCAAGGAGGAGGAGGACAUGUUGCGAAGGCAGAAGGACAUCCUCGACCGUGCUUGGCAAGAGGAGCUGGAUGAGGGCAUCUUUUAUGAUGCGGUGGAGGAGCGAGACCAGUUUGAAGACGAGCUCGAGAUAGAAGGCAGCGGCCCCAUGUCAAGGCGAGACCGACUCAAGCUUCGACUCAACAGACUCUACAGGAAGCGAGCCAUCCUCAGAAACAAGCGGAAAGCCUGCAUCGCUGAACACCAAAAGAAGGUGAAGAGAAAGGAAGAAAAGAAGAAUCGUAUUAAACAGCAUCACGCUGUCCAAAUGAAACGAGAAGAAAUACACAAGGAAUUGGACAUGAAUCGUGAACGCAUUGACAGUGAGCGGAAAAAGACGCUGGAAAGGCUCAGGGAAUACAAAAAGAAAUAUCAUAAUGGUAAAAGGAGUGGCGAUGGCACGAUGCUGGAGCCCGUUGAGGAUGAACUAUCAAGGACACCAUCUCCGAGAAGCCCAAAGCCCAGUUUAAGGCUUCAGAAUGGCACUGCAGCAGUCAGAGCAAAAGCAGUAGGAAUCUCUCCAGAGAGUUCCAAGGAGAAAGAGGACAUGUCAUUGCCUGCCCCGCCUCCAGCACCUCCGCCUCCUGCUGUACUACACCAGCUGCCACCACCACCUCCUCCUCCACCACCUCCGCCACCUCCGCCACCACCAUUGAUGCCAACCUUGAUGCCAGCUGUCCCAAACAUCAUCCCACUGACAGCACUCAAAAAGCCUGGACUGAAGCAAGAUCCAUCAAAGCCCAACCAAGGUGAACCCAACAAAACCAUCAACCUAUCAGAAAUUCUUGCUGCUCGCACCAAGCUCAGGAAAGCAGAUGUUUCAACUGAUGACAACAAAAAUAAAAACUCAGCCACUGGCAUUCAAUCCAAGGACUUCAAUGCGGUUCUUAAAGCAGCCCUUACAAAAAUUAACAUUGCCUCACAUGGACCUGAUAUUUCUGACCAUGAGAGUGAAAAUAGUGACUUUGAAUAAUUGCUCCCUGUAAAAACUAACAAUGCUGAUGCUUGCACUCUUUAUUUCCGUCCGUGACCAGCGUUGCUUGUGAUGCUAUGCAGAAAAUUUGUUAUUUAUUUAUUGAUACUGUAAUCCCAAUAUCGGGAUUAUCGCAGGGUGGGGAAAAGAACUAAGCAGCUUCACAAAACUGGCAUAAUGUACACAAAAAGAAAUAAGGGUGCAGGUUGAAGCUCUACAGCCAGCAUUAGGAACACAACAUUUGAACAAGAUGUCAAACAGUAGAAGUAAAAUAUGCAAUAAAACAAUAAACUGACAAAAUACAGUAACACACACUAGGUAAUAUGUUGUGCGAACAACAUCAGUGACGGUUGCAACACUUCAUUGUCGGUGAAGUUAUUCCAAUCAGUUAUAGUUUGUGGAACGAAUGAGCACUUAAAGCAGUAAUUACGGACGCAAAAAGGUGUUAAAGUUAGCUGAUGUAGUGGUCGAGUCGAAAUGAACGAGUUGAGACGAAAAAUGAAGUAAAUGGGUGAGUUCAGUUCUGUAGUGUAUUUUAAUUAAUUGGUACAUGAAUUUAAGUUGUGCAGAACGAUUUCGCUUGGUUAGUGUCGGCAGGCCAGCUUUGAUUAAAAGAUGUGUUACCGAUGUAUGUUGGUAAUUGUUAUACAUAUAUGUAUCUAGCAGCCCGCCUUUGAACCCUCUCUACUUUGUUUAUGUUAGUUUUAGUGAAUGGGUCCGAAAUGAUAGCUGCAUAAUCUAACGUAGGCAAGACAAUACAUUUGUAAGCAAGAAGGUGGACAGAUGGAGUGGACAACCACAAUGCCCGUCUUAUGAAAAACAAUUUAUGAAAAGUGUUACACGUUAUGAAAUCAAUAUGUCUAUUCCAGCUAAGAUUGUUAGUGAGCCAGAGGCCUAGAUAUUAUAUGCUAUUACUUCUGUAAGUGUCACACCAUUAAUACUGUAAUAAAACAGUAAGACAUUUUUUUUGCGAGUGAUCCCCAUUAGUACAGUUUUUUCAAAGUUAAUGGACAUUUGCCAUGAUUCACACCAUGCAGGAACUUUUUGUAACAUGCUAUUCAGUAGUAGUUGAUCUGAGGCACUUCUUACUUCUGUAUAAAUGACACAAUCAUCAGCGUAAAUCCUAAUUUUCACAGGAAUGCUAGAGACAAUAUCAUUAAUAUAUACUAAAUACAACAGAGGCCCAAGGACAGAGCCCUGAGGGACGCCAGAGUGAACUGCAAACCUGCCAGAACAAUAAUUGUUACAAACAACAAAUUGUUCUCUGUUUAAAAGGUAGGCUGAAAUACACUUUACUAAUUGUUUGUUAUGAAGUAUUGUCUAAUUUAUAAGUUAACUGCUUUGUUAACUCUCUUGUUUUCAUACUCGUAAUACCUUCGGUGCUACAAUUCUCAUGCAACACACACAAAAUGCAGGGUGAAGUAGUCAAACCUUUGCUGUCCUCCUUGCAUUAUAUUAGCCACAGCGUCCUGCUCCAUCAGUGGCUCCAGUGGUGUGCUGCAAAGCUGUACUUGUGACACUUCACAAAGGUUCUUUUGCCCCCAAAAUGCUGCAUGGAGUGUGCAAAGCUAACUGUAAAGAUCUCCUUUUUUCCCCUUUGGGAACAAAGUUUUAAUUUUAUACCUUCUUUAGUGUGACCACUAAAUGUGGGCAGACCUAGAACUCCUCAAGCUUAUAGUUAUUGAAAAACAUUGUGCUUUUAAUGGCAAAAAAAUAUUAAAUAAAUAAAUACCUACUGCAAGGUGCUUUUUAAGAAAAAAAAAGUAAGGUAUCCUGUUUACCUGUGUUGUGUGGCACUUCAAUGUGUUAUGCUACUAACGAAUAUAAACAGCCAGUGCAGUUCUCUCAUGUUGGCAGCUUUGCUAGGUGAGAGAGUGGUUGUCGGCCAGUCUCUUCCACCACUUCCGUUCUGGGAUUCAGGAAUGCAUCUGAUCAGUGUUUGAUGUUUCUGAUCGAUGCUGGCACUGCAAAUACUGUAAUUCAUAUGCAUGAAUAUCGCUGGUCCUUUCUCUCUUUUUUUUUCAUUUCUGUAUUUAGAGGUGUGGCUAGAUUAACCACUGGCCAAUUGUGCUUCACAGAAAGCUAAUUUCUACUUGUCUUGAAGAAUGGUAAGGUAUGGGAGAGUGAAAAUAGGGAGUGUUCGUGUGAUGUCAUGGACACCAUGUUGUUGUCUUUACAGCUUACUCAGAGCUGCUGGAAAUAAACAGAUAAGGAUAAUGCACAGCUUUUCAUCGUGCUAUCUGUACAACAAAAUAGCAGCUGCAAUGAUUUCAAUGCACGUGCUGUCCUUUACAAAUGUGCAUGAAGCACAGGUCUGUGAAGAAGAGAGUGUGCAACAAAUAAAGAAAAUGAGUGGCAGCCUAAUCAGCCUGUGCGGUUGCACCCACAGGCAUGUGCAUGUGCAUGCACAUGUGGACACCCAGGCCAGUGUAUUGUGGUCCUGUUAAACAUUUAACAUAAUGCGAUGGGCAAUCCAUUAGCAAAGCCUGUACCUGUGUCUGGGACCCUGAGCAUUCGUGGAUGUUUGUGCACGGGUAUGGCAUGACUGUAGCAUAUCGCAUAUAUGACACUGUUGUCAGAUGUUGAAAGCUCUGCCCCAGUGGUGCUGUAUUUGCACAAGUAUGGUGGAAUGGCACCAUUGCAUGUUUGUAAUUGUUUCAGGCACAAGGUGCUCAUUUUCACUAGAAAGCUUGAGUUUGUGGCAUAACCUGAUUUUCCAGUCAGCAGUGCUCUCUGAACAAUGUUGACUGGUUUUGUGUGACGAGGGUUCCUCCUUUGCUCAAAGAGAAAUGCUAAGAGAUCAUUAAUCCGUUUCAUGUAUAGCUUGAUUGGUUGAUUUAGAAUCAAAGUAUUUAUGUGAAAGUGGAGGGAACCAUGCUUAAUUUUUUGUGUAACUGUUUUUCAGACAUUUGUUUUAACAAAAUGAAUUAUAUGUAGGUACCUUUGUGUAUUGCAUCAUACUCAACCAGUGUCAAGCUACUUGCAUGUUAUGCAAGAAAUAAUUACUGUGCAGAGUCCCAAGGUCUCGCUGCCUUUGCUUGGCUGGAGUAUCGAGGCAUUUCGGGAAGAGUAAUCGACUGCCACCAAAAGUUUGGGGCAAGUUUCAUGUUGCCUUUUGACAUGUAUGAAUUUGAAGCCUUUGUACUGCCUCUACUUGCAGCUGACUCAAUCUCAAUACUCGUCACGUUCUAUUUCAUAAGUGUUCUAAUAUGUGGGGAGCCUCAGCUGAGGUAUCUGAAUAUCCCUCAAUAUAGGCAAGGUAGGUGUUCAAGUGGUUUCCCCUGUUGCCGAAUGACUCAAGCAACUAAAAUAUCAUAAUUUGAUGUCUCACUAUCAAAAAUAUCUCAAUUAGCCUUCUUCUAACUGGGUAAGAUGGGUGCUGCAUCUUAAUGUGAAACAUUUAGUGCUCUCUGAGUGCACUCUAUACCCUUUUUGAACUUUGGAAAAUAAUAGUGCUACUAGCUGCUUUUAACAUUAAGCCCGGAAUGUUUGAUUCACACACUUGCACAAAAGUGCAACUGCUAUGCUGCCCUCCCCCCUCAAAAUAAAUAAAUAAAAAAUAAAGAUGAACCCGCCUGUCAGCAAUAGGAAAGGCUUAUGAUUAUCAUGACAUGGGAGGCAGUUAGCUUAUGGUGACACUGCCACUUGCUGCCUUUGAGGGAGAGCAUUAGUUGGCCACACUCGAAACCAGCGAGCCAUGGUGACAGCAGGAUUUCGCAUCGAUUUCGCAUCAGUUUUCUCUUUCACCUUGGCAUGACAAAUACGGGGGAAUUCUUUGUGUCAAAAGCCGCUAUGCCCUUCUGUGACAUUGACGUGGAAGUAAUGGAGGCAGAUUUCUUGCACAUGUGUUAGUGCACCAAGUAGUCCAUCUGGGCUUCACAGCACUUUUGGUUCCUUGGAACAGAUGCUGAAUCGAUGCAGCUUCCACAUGCGACAGUUCCGCCUUUGCCAAGCUUCGACACACAGUGGUGUGUUGUCUUAUUUAGCUGCCAGAUAAGGUGUUUAUGCUUUCUCUUCCGCAGCUUAAGCUAACACGGAUGAAAAUGUUGUACUUUCUUCAGAGGCGCUCUCGCUCCUAAGCACUUUGCCUCCUUAGCUUUCCCUUUAUUUCCACAGAAAGUUCUCUGCGCAUGUAGUAGCAUACGUGCUUUGUAAAUCUAGAAAUGGUAUUGCAGUGUGCUCAGGUAGAGCUACAUAUAUCUGACAAUGAAAUGCUAGCACGUAUCUUCCUCAGCUAAAAGGUUAAUUUGCAAAUUUUUGCUAAAUACUGUAAAAUGCAAUAUGUAGUACACUGAAGACAGAGGUUCGCAGGACGAUGCAGAUUUGAAGUAAUCAACAUUGGUUGAACAAUUAAUGACUCAAGCUGGAGCAAGCGUUUCGACCAGGGGACCUGUCUUCAUUAGUGUCUGUUGGUUACCUCGGUGUGUAUUACAAGGUUUUCUUCAACAUGCUGGCAUGUAAAAUCUGCUUUGUGAAUUACUAUAUUUUGGCACCAUAGUUUUUUGGAUUUGUCUUAAAUGUUUCAAUAUUAAAACCACAUGGUUUUCUUUUAACUCACAUGCUGAGCUUCUUCCCAUUUUGUAACCCCAGAAUAGCUCCCCAUCCCUCUCACUUGUGUUAUGUUCGGGUUUAAGUUAUACCCCUGGUUUUAUGGUACUUAUAUAAAUGUGGAUGUUGCUAAUUUUUAAAUUCUUGGCAGUGUGCUCUGAGGCAUAUCGGAAUGUAUUACUGAAAUAGUAUCUCACCUGCUCUAUCUUCGGGUAUUUCAGAUACCUCAGCUGACAUAUGAAUUGCACUGUGAGGCAUCCUUUGCAUUGAUUUGGUAGCUUUUGGUAGCGAUGUUCACUGCCCAGUGUCCAUUUGUUUUCAACUGUUUGAGGAAUUCAUUCUCAUGUAUAUCUGCACUCAUUGCUCUCAUAACAAUCAGUUUGUGCGCAGUGGUGCUAUAGAACUCCACUUCACAAAGAGUUGCUGAGUAAAUGUACAGAGCAGCCGUUUCAACUCUGACAUUUAGGAACUUGUGGGGUCUACUCUUUCAUUGUUGAGUACUAACACACUAACACUCUGUGCUAAUUUAAAUGAUUGCACUGUUUUAGUGUGUACCUGCUGUGGUCAGCAGGUUAUUAUUAAUUUGCCAUUGCUGAGCGGUGCAGACAACCCUAGUGGGCUUGGAAUUGUUGCCUAAAAAGAAUUGUACAUUGUUGGAAUACUGUGUACUCGUGCAAUAAGUUUGUCCUAUUGAGGGCAGCAGUGCAGGCCUCUUGUUCAAAGCUUGCUGAAAUUAACAAACUGACUUGGUCACAAUUCAGUUGAGAACGGAGGAUAAACACUUUCAAAAAGCUGUGCUACAGCUGGCACUAAACAUAACCCAUGGAUAGCAGCCAAUGUAUAACAUGCAUUUGUAAGUUAUGUUGUGCUAAGACUAGCAACUUGCACACUUGUCCUCUUGCUUUAUAUAUAUGUAUACCCAUAUACAAAAGCUAGUGAGCUAGUCUAUGAGUUGUGUGGCUGUGUAUCGACGGUAACUUGCAAAUUCGUUAAAAUGAUCUGUUGCAGAGCCUGUUGACAGGUGUAUGUUCCUUCUGCUCUCAGUCAUUGUUCAGCUGCAAGAUAGUGGUGUGUGCAAGCUAUUGUCUUCUGUUUUUGUAGGUUGGUGCUAAUAUUUACCUUUUGUUCGAAUAUGAUGUUUGUAUGUUUGUGUGUUGCACACUUUUGUAUAGCCAGUUAUUGUUUUCAAAAAUUCUUAAUAUCUAUGAGCUUACACGUCCCUAGAACUUUAUUUCCUUCAUUACUCUACUUGUGUGCAUUGAAAACUGUUGUGCCCCUUUGCAGUGAUGUUUAUGAUAGGCAGUGCUUGUGGUGUUCACAACGAAACUUCAGUUGUGUGUAUUCUCAACAUUUUUGUAUGCCUGAACGUAUGUACUCUUGUUUUCAGUUUCCAUUGAAGUUUCUGGGAAUUAUGCUUGAUUGACGAUAAGAAUAAUAUUCAUAAUGCAUCAACCAGUACAUGAAAACUUGGUAGCUGCUCGUUACGGCUGCAGUGAAUGAUGAACGUUCAUGACAUCUUAAUGAGCAGGAGCAACAGCAGAUAUAGGGCACCUAUUUGCAUUGACAAACGAGAGGAAUAUCAGUUUGUGAACUUUAGAGGCAUAACCUUAGGUGACCACGCUCUUUUUUGUUUGUUUGGUAACAGCUGUAAGGCUGUCCUUAUUGGCGUGCCCAUGUGUACCUAUGUGAGUGUUCGAUUGCAUGUGCUGGCAUUCUUGUCAAGCUGGUGCUUUUAAGUACCAAAUUACAAGGCUAUGAAGGCUGUGAUCCGAAACUGUGGCUGUGCUGACACUGUGCUCUGUUCUCACACUGGCUGCAGUGCACUUUAUACCCUUUUAAAGAAUAUAUAUGUUCGAAGAAACAUAUAUUUUUUUUUUGUGGAUAAUAAAGCAUGUUUCAUUUAUUGCC